rnacentral:sRNA from 1 species
GAUUUAAUAUAUUCACCACGAUGAGAUCAGCUGGAAUGGGGACCUUGAGUUUUGUCUUGUAGCGGAUGUUGAUAUGGACUUUGACGAUGUACAGAAUGACAAAAGAAAAACAAAAUAUGAGCAAUGGGAGCCACUGUGUACCAUUGAUACCUCUCAGGAUGUCUAUCCAGUACCCAUUAUGUCGCACAACAUCCAGACCAAAGAUGUGCUUGGCCUGCGCAGUGAUGAUCUGGACAGCCACCGCGGACGUAAACCCGCUCACCAUGGGCUCUGGCAUGUAGGUGGUGAUGAUGCCAAAACCAAAUCUACCCAGGAUUAUCUACGAAAUAAAGCCAACAAAAUCAUUACUCGAUUCAUUGUUAUCGCUGAUGCUAAAACCAAACCUACUCAUGACAAUCUACGAAAUUUAGCUAACAAAUCACUGUUCGUCAUCAAUAUCAAACUUUUUCAAGAGCAACAUCGUAUGAGUUUUUGUCAGUUUGACAAUUAAGCAAGAAACCAAAAAAAAAAAAAAAAAUUAUAAUUUUUCUGUUUUCUCCAAAAUAUGGUUCUUUGCAAAAUUUUAUGGAGAAAACAUGAAAAAAACCCAUUC